rnacentral:lncRNA from 1 species
CCCUAGAGAGAGUUCAUUUAUAUCUUCAGGGAGAUCCAAGCUGAAAGAGGGGCGGGUGAUGAAAAUUUGAAGAUGAGGAACCCAGAAACCCCGGAAGCUGGAGUUUGCAGUUAACAGAAGGUCAAGGCCAGGGUCAGAGUGCAAGGCGCCAGUCACGUUUGAGCUGAAGCUAAGAAGGGGCUUGAGCUCCUGGCAGGCAGCGGAGGCUCGGCCACAGGGCAGGGAGACACAGCAGAGCUGACGACGAGGCCAACAACACGAGGGGAGAGCAUGGCUGGGAGGCGGCCCUGAGCCCAAGCGCGGUUCCCAUCAAGUCACAG